rnacentral:rRNA from 1 species
GGCGGCGUGGAUAAGACAUGCAAGUCGAGCGAGAUUUUUUCUUGUAGCAAUACAGGGAAAAGUCUAGCGGCGAACGGGUGCUUAACACGUGGGCAACCUGCCGUGAAGUGGGGGAUAGCUCGCCGAAAGGCGAAUUAAUACCGCAUGUGAUUAGAGAGGACAUCCUUUCGAAAUUAAAGUCGGGGCAACCUGACGCUUCUUGUGGGGCCCGCGGCCUAUCAGCUAGUUGGUGAGGUAACGGCUCACCAAGGCUUUGACGGGUAGCUGGUCUGAGAGGACGACCAGCCACACUGGGACUGAGACACGGCCCAGACACCUACGGGUGGCAGCAGUCGAGAAUUUUUGACAAUGGGGGAAACCCUGAUCGAGCGACGCCGCGUGGAGGAUGAAGGUCUUCGGAUUGUAAACUCCUGUCAUUGGGGAAC